rnacentral:rRNA from 1 species
GACGAACGCUGGCGGCGUGCUUAACACAUGCAAGUCGAACGAAGAGCGACGGAAGCUUGCUUCUAUCAAUCUUAGUGGCGAACGGGUGAGUAACGCGUAAUCAACCUGCCCUUCAGAGGGGGACAACAGUUGGAAACGACUGCUAAUACCGCAUACGAUCUAAUCUCGGCAUCGAGGAUGGAUGAAAGGUGGCCUCUACAUGUAAGCUAUCACUGAAGGAGGGGAUUGCGUCUGAUUAGCUAGUUGGAGGGGUAACGGCCCACCAAGGCGAUGAUCAGUAGCCGGUCUGAGAGGAUGCACGGCCACAUUGGGACUGAGACACGGCCCAGACUCCUACGGGAGGCAGCAGUGGGGAAUCUUCCGCAAUGGACGAAAGUCUGACGGAGCAACGCCGCGUGAGUGAUGACGGCCUUCGGGUUGUAAAGCUCUGUUAAUCGGGACGAAAGGCCUUCUUGCGAAUAGUGAGAAGGAUUGACGGUACCGGAAUAGAAAGCCACGGCUAACUACGUG